UGGUGGAGUGAUUUGUCUGCUUAAUUGCGAUAACGAACGAGACCUUAACCUGCUAAAUAGCCCUUAUUGCUCCGGCAGUAAGCUGGCUUCUUAGAGGGACUAUCGGCUCAAGCCGAUGGAAGUUUGAGGCAAUAACA
rnacentral:rRNA from 1 species